AGGACGAACGCUGGCGGCGCGCUUAAUACAUGCAAGUCGAGCGAGAACCAGGGCUUCGGCUCUGGGGACAGCGGCGAACGGGUGAGUAACACGUGGGUAAUCAACCCCCGACACCGGGAUAGCCCAGGGAAACUUGGAUUAAUACCGGAUGCUCCGUCUGGCUUUAGGGCCGGCCGGAAAAGGGUAGCUUCGGCCUCCGGUCGGGGACGAGCCCGCGGCGGAUUAGCUUGUUGGUGAGGUAAAGGCUCACCAAGGCGACAAUCCGUAGCUGGUCUGAGAGGACGAUCAGCCACACUGGGACUGAGACACGGCCCAGACUCCUACGGGAGGCAGCAGUAGGGAAUCUUGCGCAAUGGGCGAAAGCCUGACGCAGCGACGCCGCGUGAGGGAAGAAGGCCUUCGGGUUGUAAACCCCUUUCAGUUGGGACGAAGCUUCUCCGGUGAAUAGCCGGACGGAGUGACGGUACCUUCACAAGAAGCACCGGCUAACUACGUGCCAGCAGCCGCGGU
rnacentral:rRNA from 1 species